UACGAAGGGGCUAGCGUUGCUCGGAAUUACUGGGCGUAAAGGGCGCGUAGGCGGCACUGUUAGUCAGGCGUGAAAGUCCUGGGCUCAACCUGGGAACUGCGCUUGAUACGGCAGAGCUAGAGGAUGGAAGAGGCUCGCGGAAUUCCCAGUGUAGAGGUGAAAAUUCGUAGAUAUUGGGAAGAACACCGGUGGCGAAGGCAGAUCUCUGGCCGUAACUGACGCUGAGGAGCGAAAGCGUGGGGGAGCGAACAGG
rnacentral:rRNA from 1 species